rnacentral:rRNA from 1 species
CAAUAGCGUAUAUUUAAGUUGCUGCAGUUAAAAAGCUCGUAGUUGGAUUUCGGGUGGGAAUGGCCGGUCCGCCGUUUCGGUGUGCACUUGCUACGCCCACCUUGCUGCCGGGGACGUGCUCUUGAGUUCACGCUCGGGACACGGAGUCGGCGAGGUUACUUUGAGUAAAUUAGAGUGUUCAAAGCAGGCCUACGCUCUGAAUACAUUAGCAUGGAAUAACACGAUAGGACUCUGGCCUAUCGUGUUGGUCUGUAGGACCAGAGUAAUGAUUAAGAGGGACAGUCGGGGGCAUUCGUAUUCCGUUGUCAGAGGUGAAAUUCUUGGAUUUACGGAAGACGAACAUCUGCGAAAGCAUUUGCCAAGGAUGUUUUCAUUGA